rnacentral:rRNA from 1 species
UGGGGAAUAUUGGACAAUGGGCGAAAGCCUGAUCCAGCCAUGCCGCGUGUGUGAAGAAGGUCUUCGGAUUGUAAAGCACUUUAAGUUGGGAGGAAGGGCAGUAAGCGAAUACCUUGCUGUUUUGACGUUACCGACAGAAUAAGCACCGGCUAACUCUGUGCCAGCAGCCGCGGUAAUACAGAGGGUGCGAGCGUUAAUCGGAUUUACUGGGCGUAAAGCGUGCGUAGGCGGCUAAUUUAGUCGGAUGUGGAAUCCCCGAGCUUAACUUGGGAAUUGCAUUCGAUACUGGUUAGCUAGAGUGUGGGGGAGGAUGGUAAAAUUCCAGGUGAUGCGGUGAAAUGCGUAGAGAUCUGGAGGAAUACCAAUGGCGAAGGCAGCCAUCUGGCCUAACACAAACGCUGAGGUACGAAAGCAUGGGGAGCAAACAGG